AUUGAACGCUGGCGGCAGGCUUAACACAUGCAAGUCGAGCGAGCGGCGGACGGGUGAGUAAUGUCUGGGAAACUGCCUGAUGGAGGGGGAUAACUACUGGAAACGGUAGCUAAUACCGCAUACCAUCAGAUGUGCCCAGAUGGGAUUAGCUAGUAGGUGAGGUAAUGGCUCACCUAGGCGACGAUCCCUAGCUGGUCUGAGAGGAUGAACAGCCACACUGGAACUGAGACACGGUCCAGACUCCUACGGGAGGCAGCAGUGGGGAAUAUUGCACAAUGGGCGCAAGCCUGAUGCAGCCAUGCCGCGUGUAUGAAGAAGGCCUUCGGGUUGUAAAGUACUUUCAGCGAGGAGGCGUUACUCGCAGAAGAAGCACCGGCUAACUCCGUGCCAGCAGCCGCGGUAAUUC
rnacentral:rRNA from 1 species